AUACGUAGGUGGCGAGCGUUGUUCGGAUUUAUUGGGCGUAAAGGGUUCGCAGGAGGUCUGUUAAAAUUGGGGUGAAAUCCCGGGGCUCAACCCCGGAAUUGCCCUGAUGACUGACGGACUAUGAGUGCUGGAGAGGUAAGCGGAAUACCAAGUGUAGCGGUGGAAUGCGUAGAUAUUUGGUAGAACACCAAUGGCGAAGGCAGCUUACUGGACAGCUACUGACUCUCAGGGACGAAAGCGUGGGGAGCAAACAGGAUUAGAUACCCUGGUAGUCCACGCCGUAAACGUUGUCGACUUGAUGUGGGCGGAUUUAGUCCUGUCCGUAUCGAAGCUAACGCGAUAAGUCGACCGCCUGGGGACUACGGCCGCAAGGCUAAAACUCAAAGGAAUUGACGGGG
rnacentral:rRNA from 1 species